GGAUUUUUCAACCUCCAUUUGAGUAACCUUGGAUCAAGUUAAUUGGAGAAUUUUUACUGUCAACUAGGAACUACCUUUGUUUGGCUAAAAUCUCCAGGCGAAGGUAAAGGUAGAGGAAAGCUGGCGAGCGACAAAGAAGGAUCCGUGACAUGCCAUAUGGGGACUCAGUUUUGCUUCCGCGUUUAUGUUUCAGUGUUUUAAUAUUCCGUUUUAAAUGAAAAUUUGUUCUUCCCUCG